rnacentral:misc_RNA from 1 species
AACACUGUUAACCUGCGGUACCUGCGGAAGGAUCAUUACCGAGUUUACAACUCCCAAACCCCUGUGAACAUACCACUUGUUGCCUCGGCGGAUCAGCCCGCUCCCGGUAAAACGGGACGGCCCGCCAGAGGACCCCUAAACUCUGUUUCUAUAUGUAACUUCUGAGUAAAACCAUAAAUAAAUCAAAACUUUCAACAACGGAUCU